UAAUCCACACAAUACUUCAACAAGCAUUUAUUAAACGCCUACUAUGUGCUCAGCACUAUACUAGGCACUCGGGGGUGCAGAGAUACAAAUGUAAAAGUUAUUAUUCCUGCCCUCAAGGAGCUUACAAUUUAAUUUUGGAAAUAAAUACAAAUAUGAAACUGUAACACAGAGUGCUAGAAAAUAAUUACAAAGCAACAUAUUAGUAAGUACAUGGACCACAGUACAAACUCAAAAGAUAAGUGCUGAGGCAGCACAGAAUGAGGGAGGUCAUCGCAUGAGGUGAUGUCAAUCAGGGAGAGCUCAGUCAGAAGAUAUAAAGGAAGAAAGGCUUUGAAGGGAGUGAUGAACAUGAGCUGGGACCAAAGAGCAAUCUAAGCAAAAAGAAUAGCAUGAGAAAGGCACAGAGGCAAGAGCUUGUAAGACAUCAGUAGAAGGCUGUAGGAAGUUUGAAUCUGUUGAAUCAAGGUGAAUAUGCUAGAGAGUAAUGAAGGCUGAUGAAUAUUAGGCAUAGAGGUAAUGGAGAAUUUGGAACACCACUGCUCCAUAGGAAUUAUCUACUGGGUGUUACUUAGUGAAAAUGAAAUUUUACAAUAGAGAUAUUGUAAAAAUGGGUGUUUGAGGAGGAUCGUCUUUGAAAAAUUAUCUACUGGGUGUUACUGAAAAUGAAAAUUUUACAAUACGGAUAUUGUAAAAAUGGAGUUUGAGGAGGAGCACCUUAGAAACUUUAUACAAGAUGGGGAUCCUGGGAGCAAGGAAAUUGGAAAAAAAAGAAUUACAGUAACCUGGGCCUCAGAUCUACAUGAAAAGCUAUAAUGGGAUGAGAGAAAUGGGAGAUCAAGCCUCAAGGAGAAAACUGAUUAAAAACUGGACUGACAGCAAGUUUUUGGACAUGGAGAAUGGAGAGCAGAAAAAGAUAACUCCAAGGCUGGGGUAAAAAUAUAAAGGUGGUGACACUUUUCAGGGCAAAGGAAUUACGCAAUGAGGCCUGUUUAAAAAGAAAACGGGGGCUGGGGAUAUAUGGUGAUGAAUCCUGUUUUCAAAUAUCAAGUUGUACAGGUACCUGUGGAAAAUUCCAAAAGUCACAAACUGACCCACAGGGUGGGAAAAAUGAAGUCAUUCGAAUACAAAUAGUAGGUAUAAACAAUCAAAAUGGAUAAAUAGGAGUAUAGAAAAUGAAGUGAAUAAAAGACAGGGAGAUUAUUCUCAGUGGAGAAGAGGAGAAAGGGGAGUGGGUGGAAAGAUCAACUAAAAAAAGAAAGACAGAUAUUAGAGAAAAAGGAUCCCACAAGCCAAAGGAGGGAGAAUUCAACAAUAUAAAAUAUAAAUUAGAUCAAAAAAGACAAGAAAUAAUAAUAAAAAAAGGCCUUAUUAUUUGUCCACUGGUGAGUCUAAGAACAUUUCACUGGAAUGCUAAGUAUGAAAGCCAGUAAAAAGAAGUUUUAAGAACAGAUUAAUGAAAAAGGGGGGUUGAAAAAUCAAAGAUAUGUUUGAAAAACCAUGAACAAUAGAGGAGAAACAGAAUGGUAGUUGGAAAUGGGCAAUGAGGAUGAAAGCAUUUCACAUUUUAUGCUGUAGAUGAACUUACUAUUGUCAUCCUAACUGACCAUCUGCCUGGCCUGGUACAUGGAUAUUUCAUUUCCCUCCACAAUUCUACUUUCCCUUUGGCAGUUUGGAGAAAAAUAUAUUUGAAUUUAUUAUUGCUUUAUCCUCCCAAUUACUCUGUUAAAUAUGUUUUGUUUGCACAAUUUAGCUUUGUAGUACUACAAAGCAUCAACACUUAAAAAUGAUAUAAUUGUAACCCCAAAAAGCAUUUUCCACCAAUUUUCCAGUAAUUGUAAUGUAUUUGCACUCUACUGCACAUUCUUUUCCCCAGUACCUCUCAUGACAAGCGCUACAUAUUUUUAAAAAGCUGGUUAGAAUUACCAUGUUCAUUAUACACACCUUAGCACAGUAGUCAGAACAGGCUCUAGAAUCAAACUGUGUGGGUCAGAAUCAGUUUUAUCACAUACUGGCUGGGUGAUAUUGGUCAGCUCACUCAACUAAGCCUCCGUUUCCUCAUUUAUCAUGAGCCUGAGAAAGGCAUAACAGGGUUGGGCACAUAGUAAGUGCUCAAUAAACGUCGGCUAUUAUUAUUUGGAGACUCAGAACCAAGAGUAAAGUUAACUGCUCUGUUUGGGAAUCAACCACCAUAUUCUAGCACUGCACCUUGCUCCAUGGAGAAAAUCUCUGAAACCUAACAUGCCUCUCCCAGGGCUAUGUUGGAUGGCAUUAGAGUUAUGAAAGAACCACCUUAUCAUGUCAGUUCCUAAAAUGAGAAGCUUAGGAUGGGAGGAGAAAGUACUGAUGAAUAGUUCAUUUCAGAUGAACAUAAAGAUAGAAUCUAUAGGAUAAAGGAGCUUAAUGAAUGCCAUUCACAGUUAAGAGCUCAAAAUGUCAUACAGCCUAGUCAAUAAUAUUCUAUGCUAAGAGUGUGAACUUGAGACAAAGAAUGAUUUCUAGUGAUGUCCUCAAAGAAUCCACAGCCUUUUUCUAUUGUCUUAUACCAUUUGGCUAAUUCUGUAUAUGUGCUGUAUCAGCUUUGAUAAUUCUUUCAAGACACAGUCUUUUCUCACACCCAAUAUAACACUAAUUUUUCUAGUCAUAUUAUUUUCUCCAAAUUUAUGCCACAUGCUUAGUAAUUCUGAGAUUUAAGUAAUCUGGCUACAUAUUACUCUUAAUACUGACACAUAAAGAGACUUUAGCUAGUACAUCUGUAUACAUUUCAAUGUGUUGCUCUGGUCUAUGGCCAUACCACCCUGAAUGCACCCAAUUUUGUUAAUAUGUUGCAUUGCUAAAAGGACUUU
rnacentral:lncRNA from 1 species